rnacentral:misc_RNA from 1 species
UCUCCGUAGGUGAACCUGCGGAGGGAUCAUUACAGAGUUCUCGCCCUCGCGGGUAGGUCUCCCACCCACUGUUAUCGUUACUGUCGUUUCUUUGGCGGGCCGCCGGGUCCACGGGCGCGGGCGACAAAUAUGCGGCGCAGGCGGGACUGAGGCAUUCGAACCCUAAAUGUUAGUGUCGUCUGAGUACUCUAUAAUAGUUAAAACUUUCAACAACGGAUCACUUGGUUCUG